GCCUGGAUAGCUCAGUUGGUAGGGCACUUGCCUGCAAAGCACUAAGGUCCCAGGUUCAAGUCCUGGUCCAGCACA